GGAUAUAGCUCAGUGGUAGAGCAUGUGCCUAGUAUGUGUGAGGUCCUGGGUUCAAUCCCCAGCACCA
rnacentral:tRNA from 1 species